GUGGGGAAUAUUCCGCAAUGGACGAAAGUCUGACGGAGCAACGCCGCGUGAGUGAAGAAGGUUUUCGGAUCGUAAAGCUCUUUCGUCAGGGACGAACGUAUUUCUUGUAAAUAAUGAGAGAUAGUGACGGUACCUGAAUAAGAAGCCACGGCUAACUACGUGCCAGCAGCCGCGGUAAUACGUAGGUGGCAAGCGUUGUCCGGAAUUAUUGGGCGUAAAGCGCGCGCAGGCGGGAUAUCAAGUCUGUCUUAAAAGUGCGAGGCUCAACCUCGUGAGGGGACAGAAACUGGUAUUCUUGAGUGUCGGAGAGGAAAGUGAAAUUCCAAGUGUAGCGGUGAAAUGCGUAGAGAUUUGGAAGAACACCAGUGGCGAAGGCGACUUUCUGGACGAUGUCUGACGCUGAGGCGCGAAAGCUAGGGGAGCGAACGGGAUUAGAUACCCGAGUAGUCC
rnacentral:rRNA from 1 species